rnacentral:rRNA from 1 species
CGUCUAGGCUGAUUAGCAAGUCAGAUGUGAAAUCCCCCGGCUCAACCGGGGAACUGCAUUUGAAACUGCUCGUCUUGAGUAUGGAAGAGGGAAGCGGAAUUCCUGGUGUAGCGGUGAAAUGCAUAGAUACCACAAAGAACACCAAUAGCGAAGGCAGCUUACUGGACCAUAACUGACACUGAGGCACGAAAGCGUGGGGAGCGAACAGGAUUAGAUACCCUGGUAGUCC